ACGGGAGGCAGCAGUGAGGAAUAUUGGUCAAUGGGCGGAAGCCUGAACCAGCCAAGUCGCAUGAAGGAUGAAGGUAUUAUGUAUUGUAAACUUCUUUCGCCGGGGGAUAAACCUGGCCACGUGUGGCCAGCUGAAGGUACCCGGUGAAUAAGCAUAGGCUAACUCCGUGCCAGCAGCCGCGGUAAUACGGAGGAUGCGAGCGUUAUCCGGAUUUAUUGGGUUUAAAGGGUGCGCAGGCGGGCCUUUAAGUCAGCGGUGAAAUCCCGUAGCUCAACUACGGAACUGCCGUUGAUACUGGAGGCCUUGAGUCGUGUCGAGGAUGGCGGAAUGCAGCGUGUAGCGGUGAAAUGCUUAGAUAUGCUGCAGAACUCCGAUUGCGAAGGCAGCUGUCCAGAGACGAACUGACGCUGAGGCACGAAAGCAUGGGUAUCAAACAGGAUUAGAUACCCUGGUA
rnacentral:rRNA from 1 species